ensembl:lincRNA 4930429H19Rik RIKEN cDNA 4930429H19 gene
GAUAAUGCGGCUGGUGGAGGAAAGAUGGCGACAGUGGUGAUGAUUCCGUCAAGAGGUGAUGGUGGCGAUAACAGUAGUGGCCGUGUAGAUGGUACAGAGAUGAUGGUGAUGCUGGUAGAAGUGGAGACAGCAGGAGUAGUGAUGACGACAGUGGUGAUGGAGGCCAUGGUGGCGGCUGCAGGGUUCGGGAGAACUGAACCAUGAAGCAAUUUUGCAGAAACUGUGUUCUGUGGAGGUUUGGGGAAGUAUCGGACAGUGGGGAUAUGAGAGCUGAGUUGGGACCCAAGCUCAAGUCUGAAGCCAUGAUCAGCAAUCCAUGCCAUCUCUCACCCCUCCACCUCGCAUCUGCAUUACAUCUGCAAACUGGGCAUUAAUCUACACAAAGGUGAAAAGUUGAUUUGUAAAUGGUGACGGGCUCUAUAAACAUGAGGAGUUUGUUUAUUCUCUGGUUCACAUAAACAUCUUUACUUUUAUUGUUAUGAAA